UACACACACUAGAGUUUGAUCAUGGCUCAGAUUGAACGCUGGCGGCAUGCCUUACACAUGCAAGUCGAACGGCAGCACGGGAGUAAUCCUGGUGGCGAGUGGCGAACGGGUGAGUAAUACAUCGGAACGUGUCCUGUAGUGGGGGAUAGCCCGGCGAAAGCCGGAUUAAUACCGCAUACGCUCUACGGAGGAAAGGGGGGGAUCUUAGGACCUCUCGCUACAGGGGCGGCCGAUGGCAGAUUAACUAGUUGGUGGGGUAAAGGCCUACCAAGGCGACGAUCUGUAGCUGGUCUGAGAGGACGACCAGCCACACUGGGACUGAGACACGGCCCAGACUCCUACGGGAGGCAGCAGUGGGGAAUUUUGGACAAUGGGGGCAACCCUGAUCCAGCAAUGCCGCGUGUGUGAAGAAGGCCUUCGGUUGUAAAGCACUUUUGUCCGGAAAGAAAUCUUCUGCCCUAAUACGGCGGGAGGAUGACGGUACCGGAAGAAUAAGCACCGGCUAACUACGUGCCAGCCGCCGCGGUA
rnacentral:rRNA from 1 species